rnacentral:rRNA from 1 species
UGGGGAAUCUUCCGCAAUGGGCGAAAGCCUGACGGAGCAACGCCGCGUGAGUGAAGACGGCCUUCGGGUUGUAUAACUCUGUGAUUCGGGACGAAAGAUAAGCAGACGAAUAAUCUGCAUAAGUGACGGUACCGAAAAAGCAAGCCCCGGCUAACUACGUGCCAGCAGCCGCGGUAAUACGUAGGUGGCAAGCGUCGUCCGGAAUUAUUGGGCGUAAAGCGCGCGCAGGCGGCUACUUAAGUCCAUCUUAAAAGUGCGGGGCUUAACCCCGUGAUGGGAUGGAAACUGAGAAGCUGGAGUGUCGGAGAGGAAGGUGGAAUUCCUAGUGUAGCGGGGAAAUGCGUAGAGAUUAGGAAGAACACCGGUGGCGGAGGCGACUUUCUGGACGACAUCUGACGCUUAGGCGCGAAAGCGUGGGGAGCAAACAGG